AGGAUAGAUACCCUGGUAGUCCACGCCGUAAACGAUGGAUGCUAGUUGUCAGGCAGCAUGCUGUUUGGUGACGCAGCUAACGCAUUAAGCAUCCCGCCUGGGGAGUACGGCCGCAAGGUUAAAACUCAAAGAAAUUGACGGGGGCCCGCACAAGCGGUGGAGCAUGUGGUUUAAUUCGAAGCAACGCGCAGAACCUUACCUACCCUUGACAUACCAAUCGCGGAUUACAGAGAUGUUUUCCUU
rnacentral:rRNA from 1 species